GGGGAAUUUUCCGCAAUGGGCGAAAGCCUGACGGAGCAAUACCGCGUGAGGGAGGAAGGCUCUUGGGUUGUAAACCUCUUUUCUCAGGGAAGAAAAAAAUGACGGUACCUGAGGAAUAAGCAUCGGCUAACUCCGUGCCAGCAGCCGCGGUAAUACGGAGGAUGCAAGCGUUAUCCGGAAUUAUUGGGCGUAAAGCGUCCGCAGGUGGCAAUUCAAGUCUGCUGUCAAAGGUUCUGGCUCAACCAGAAACAGGCAGUGGAAACUGAACAGCUAGAGUGCGGUAGGGGCAGAGGGAAUUCCCAGUGUAGCGGUGAAAUGCGUAGAGAUUGGGAAGAACACCGGUGGCGAAAGCGCUCUGCUAGACCGCAACUGACACUCAUGGACGAAAGCUAGGGGAGCGAAUGGGAUUAGAUACCCCAG
rnacentral:rRNA from 1 species